rnacentral:rRNA from 1 species
CCUACGGGUGGCAGCAGUAGGGAAUAUUGCUCAAUGGUGGAAACCCUGAAGCAGCAACGCCGCGUGGAGGAUGAAGGUUUUCGGUUUGUUAACUCCUUUUGUUAGAGAAGAUAAUGACGGUAUCUAACGAAUAAGCACCGUCUAACUCCGUGCAAGCAGCCGCGGUAAUCCGGCGGGUGCAAGCGUUAAUCGGAAUCACUGGGCGUAAAGCGGGCGUAGGCGGGAUAGCAAGUCAGAUGUGAAAUCCUAUGGCUUAACCAUAGAACUGCAUUUGAAACUGUUAUUCUAGAGUAUGGGAGAGGUAGGCGGAAUUCUUGGUGUAGCGGUAAAAUGCAUAGAGAUCGAGAAGAAUACUGAUUGCGAAGGCGACCUGCUAGAACAUAACUGACGCUGAGGCACGAAAGCGUGGGGAGCGAACAGGAUUAGAUACCCGAGUAGUC